rnacentral:rRNA from 1 species
GUGUCAGCAGCCGCGGUAAUACGGGGGGGGCAAGCGUUGUUCGGAAUUACUGGGCGUAAAGGGCGCGUAGGCGGUCCGCUAAGUUAGAUGUGAAAACUCUGGGCUCAACCCAGAGCCUGCAUCUAAUACUGACGGGCUAGAGUUCUGGAGGGGGUAGCGGAAUUCCUGGUGUAGCGGUGAAAUGCGUAGAUAUCAGGAGGAACACCGGUGGCGAAGGCGGCUACCUGGACAGAAACUGACGCUGAGGCGCGAAAGCUAGGGGAGCAAACAGGAUUAGAUACCCUGGUAGUCC